rnacentral:rRNA from 1 species
UGGGGAAUUUUGGACAAUGGGGGCAACCCUGAUCCAGCCAUGCCGCGUGAGUGAAGAAGGCCUUCGGGUUGUAAAGCUCUUUCGGCCGGGAAGAAAUCGCAUAGGUUAAUACCCUGUGUGGAUGACGGUACCGGAAUAAGAAGCACCGGCUAACUACGUGCCAGCAGCCGCGGUAAUACGUAGGGUGCGAGCGUUAAUCGGAAUUACUGGGCGUAAAGCGUGCGCAGGCGGUUUCGUAAGACAGAGGUGAAAUCCCCGGGCUCAACCUGGGAACUGCCUUUGUGACUGCGAAGCUAGAGUACGGCAGAGGGGGGUGGAAUUCCACGUGUAGCAGUGAAAUGCGUAGAGAUGUGGAGGAACACCGAUGGCGAAGGCAGCCCCCUGGGCCGAUACUGACGCUCAUGCACGAAAGCGUGGGUAGCAAACAGGAUUAGAUACCCUGGUAGUCCACGCCCUAAACGAUGUCAACUAGGUGUUGGGUGGGUAAAACCAUUUAGUACCGUAGCUAACGCG